CUCUUCCGGGCAGAUGUGAGAGCUCUGCUCUCUGAGGCAGAUGCGAUUCAGCUCCGACCCAGGAUGGACGUAGGCUAGAAUCUUCCUGGUGAUGCCCACAGGUUGAGAGGCAAUGUUGAACACUACUGUUGCCCUAGCUGGAAUUCAAGCCCCAGCAAACAGGUGCGCUGUCCUCCCUCAUCCCUUAGGAAUGACAAAGCAAGAAGCUCCGUGCAUGCACCUACAGGUCGUGUAGAAAAGAACUGUUUUGCAAAUGUCUCAAGUGAAAGGAAAUUAACCGGCUGAUCAAUCAAUAGUAAAUUGGAUUGUGCCUUUGCUGACAUGUCUGUACCCAGUGUCAAAGUUUAUUUAACUGCUGACUGCUGAUCUCAGAGCUGUUAACAUUAAAAUUACAUUGA